UGAAAAAUGAUGAAUUGGAUCAGGUAUGGUGGCUCACACCUGCAUUCCCAGUGCUUUGGGAGGCCAAGGCCAGAGGCUCACUUAAGGUUAAGAGUUUGAGACCAGCCUUGGCAACAUAAUGAGACCCUGUCUCUACAAAAAAAAUUUUUAUUUAUAAUUAGACUGGAGUGGUAGUGCAUAUCUGUAGUACCAGCUACUUGGGAGGCUGAGAUAGAAGGAUCUCUUGAGUCCAGGAGUUUGAGGUUAGAGUGAGCUAUGAUUGCACCACUGCACUACAGCCUGGGUGACAGAGUGAGACCCUGCCUCAAAAAAAAAAAAAAAAGUGUGAGAUGUAAUGGAUGGGAUCCAGGGGGCAGGGCCCUGUGGCAGUGGUGAGG
rnacentral:lncRNA from 1 species